rnacentral:rRNA from 1 species
AAUGAACGCUGGCGGCGCGCCUAACACAUGCAAGUCGAGCGGGGUGAUGGUGCUUGCACUAUCACUUAGCGGCGGACGGGUGAGUAAUGCUUAGGAAUCUGCCUAUUAGUGGGGGACAACGUCUCGAAAGGGAUGCUAAUACCGCAUACGUCCUACGGGAGAAAGCAGGGGAUCACUUGUGACCUUGCGCUAAUAGAUGAGCCUAAGUCGGAUUAGCUAGUUGGUGGGGUAAAGGCCUACCAAGGCGACGAUCUGUAGCGGGUCUGAGAGGAUGAUCCGCCACACUGGGACUGAGACACGGCCCAGACUCCUACGGGAGGCAGCAGUGGGGAAUAUUGGACAAUGGGGGGAACCCUGAUCCAGCCAUGCCGCGUGUGUGAAGAAGGCCUUAUGGUUGUAAAGCACUUUAAGCGAGGAGGAGGCUCUUUUGGUUAAUACCCAAGAUGAGUGGACGUUACUCGCAGAAUAAGCACCGGCUAACUCUGUGCCAGCCGCCGCAGUAA